rnacentral:rRNA from 1 species
UACGGAGGAUCCGAGCGUUAUCCGGAUUUAUUGGGUUUAAAGGGUGCGUAGGCGGUUUGAUAAGUUAGAGGUGAAAUGUCGGGGCUCAACCCCGAAACUGCCUCUAGUACUGUUGGACUAGAGAAUAGUUGCGGUAGGCGGAAUGUAUGGUGUAGCGGUGAAAUGCUUAGAGAUCAUACAGAACACCGAUUGCGAAGGCAGCUUACCAAACUAUAUCUGACGUUGAGGCACGAAAGCGUGGGUAGCAAACAGG